CCUACGGGAGGCAGCAGUGAGGAAUAUUGGUCAAUGGACGAGAGUCUGAACCAGCCAAGUAGCGUGAAGGAUGACUGCCCUAUGGGUUGUAAACUUCUUUUAUAUGGGAAUAAAACGUUCCACGUGUGGGAUUUUGUAUGUACCAUAUGAAUAAGGAUCGGCUAACUCCGUGCCAGCAGCCGCGGUAAUACGGAGGAUCCGAGCGUUAUCCGGAUUUAUUGGGUUUAAAGGGAGCGUAGGUGGAUUGUUAAGUCAGUUGUGAAAGUUUGCGGCUCAACCGUAAAAUUGCAGUUGAAACUGGCAGUCUUGAGUACAGUAGAGGUGGGCGGAAUUCGUGGUGUAGCGGUGAAAUGCUUAGAUAUCGCGAAGAACUCCGAUUGCGAAGGCAGUUCACUGGACUGCAACUGACACUGAGGCUCGAAAGUGUGGGUAUCAAACAGGAUUAGAUACCCCUGUAGUC
rnacentral:rRNA from 1 species